AUGUAUGAAUAUUCAAUGAAUGAAAUGCAAGGGAUGAUAUGUGCUAGAAACUAGCAAUAUGAAAUGAAGGACACUAAUAAGAGCUCUGGAGCAGAAUCUAACAUAAGUAUAGUUAUGAAAGUAACUUACUUAUUAUAAGGGCAUAGGAACGAUGUGUACGAUUACGUACAUACAUGAAUUAAACAUUUGCCAAGAUCCCAAAUGCGUUUAGGUUGUAGUAAGUAUAGUGGAUGAACAACUUGAAAGAGGUAAGAGUAGAAUGGUCUAGUUUGAAUGAGAAAGGUUUCGGGGACGAAACCUCUUUUAAGGGGGGUAGACUUGUAACGCCCCAAAAUUAUGCAAAUUAAUUAUGUUACUUAAGAUGUCUAGUCAUGUAUUAUUUUACCUAGUUAAGUAUGUAUAUGUUAGUAACUUGAUUAGAAGGAAGGUUAUAUGACAAAUAAAAUAUCUAAGUAAAUAGGAGGACUAAACUUGUUAAAAGGUUGAAAGUUUAAUAAAUAAAAGAAAAAAAUAAAAAACACACACCCUGGUGUGAUGGCGUGGAUCGAUC
rnacentral:lncRNA from 1 species